rnacentral:rRNA from 1 species
AUGGAGAUAAUGCACAAGGCAACUGAAUCUGCUUAUGAUGAAGAUAAUGGUAAAGGUAAGGAUGUAUCAAGCAUGGAAGAAAACGAUCCAUGGAAUCCUUCAUAUCGAUGUGCCCCUCGUCCUUGUAAAGACUUGACUGACAAUGUCAAAUUAAUGAAGGAGGUGUUGCAGGAAAAACAUGUUUUGUUUGCUGUCUCCAGAGCAACCCAGACAAUCGUCCCAGACCGUACUCCUCAGUCAAUGAAUGAUGCCUUCGUCAACAAAUUACCCCGCUUGGUGCCCAUCCUGGAAAAGGAUAGUGUCAGGCUUUUUCUCAACUUAUUCAAGCAUGACUCAGUGGGAUUGGCUUGGGGUUUCGUCAUGACGCCACCGACCUUCAAUCAGAUGAUCGUGCAAAAUGCCCUGCGAUGUGCGAAAGUUGCCUUGGAGGGCAAGGCCCCUGAGCUCAAUGGGCACCGCGCCAAUCCCAACUACAUGAACUCACGUGGGUACUUUCCCCUCCACCAAGCUGCUGAAAUGUUCUCUGCUGACAUGAUCAAGCUGCUCUUCCACUAUGGCGCGUCGGCCAAUUUGCGCACAUCUGGCCCUGAAGUCAUCGAGGGCCUACUCCCACUACAUGUUGCAGUUGAGAAUGCUUGCCGGCAUAAGUUUCUUGAGGAAAACCUGUUACCCGACAAAGAGAAUACUGACUAUGUCUACAGGCUCAUUCAACUGGUUUGCUUACCUGAAAUGAAAAUCUUCUUGGAUACAGUCAGACUGAUUGCAGAAAGAACAGAUGAUCUUGUUGUUGAGGUCUGGAAAUACAUAAAGGAUGGAAAGCUUGCUGAAACAGCAGUUUUGCUCCUGGCAGCUCAAAAGAAGAUCCGCAUGGGAUCUUGUCUGAAGCCAGAUGGCUAUAGCAAGGCAGAUGGGUUUGCUAUUCUCUCUAAUCUAUGUACAGAGGAUGCUGUAGCCAUAGAUUUGGAGAUUACUCAAAACAGAGUUGGAAAGAAGCAGCAGCUGAAGGCAGAGAAAAAUCUCAAGCAUAUGGCAUUGAUGCUUGUUAUUGCAAUUUCCGAAGCUGGUGAAGCUCUUGAUUCAUACAUUCGGGCACAUCCAGAGGUGCCCAAUGCCAUGCAGGUGGCCCAUGUUGAGGUCCUGAAAGGUGUCUCAUCGAUUCUCAAGAACCAUGGUUUUUGUCCUACUGGAGAGUGCAUCAACAUAGAAAACCUCCGACCAUAUGAUCAACAAUCAUCCAGGUUGUCCGAUGAAGAGUUGCCCAACAAACAUGGGUAUGCUACAGCUGAUAAGGCUGCCAGGAAGAAACAACCUAGAGGAUGGAAGCUCGAACAUGCAAGGAGAAGCUUCAUCCCAUGCUGGAAAUCAGUGCUAUCAUCAACCAAGUUGGAAGCAAAGGCAUCUCCCUUUUGUCCCUUGAUAGAACUAAAAAGCAUGAGAGAGACUCAGGAAAUUUGGAAUAAAUCAGCAGCCGAAAGAUCCUCUUCAGUUCCAACUAAAAAUCUUGGUUUGCUGGGAAGAGUUCCGCAAUUAACAAGUAGUUAUCAAUCAGAAGGCUGUUCUGUACUGCUGCAUUGA